UAGAGGCGGCAGGGUAGCCUAGUGGUUAGAGUGUAGAGGUGGCAGGUAGCCAAUUGGUUAGAGUGUGGAGGCUGCAGGGUAGCCUAGUGGUUAGAGUGUAGAGGCGGCAGGGUAGCCUAGUGGUUAGAGCGUAGAGGUGGCAGGGUAGCCUAGUGGUUAGAGUGUAGAGGCUGCAGGUAGCCUAGUGGUUAGAGUGUAGAGGUGGCAGGUAGCCUAGUGGUUAGAGUGUAGAGGAGGCAGGUAGGCAGGGGGAUCCGUACAUUUAGACAGCGAUGUUAGAUAUUUGCCUGAUUCGGUGCUCACAAAAACAAAAAGACUACCUCACAUUGGGAUUGAACCCACAACCCUCUGAACUUUAGCUCACAGCUCCACUUGGCGCUGACAACAACUCCAGAGCAAGCCACUACCUUACUUCAUAGUAAUGUUGUUGUUUAUGUUUAACCCUAGCCCUAAACCUUAACCACUUUGAAAUGAAUUAAAUAAAAAAAAUAGACGUUUGUCCGUACCACUUCAGAUUUCGACAUUAGACAGUGAUAUCUUGUCGUAUCAGGGUGGAUCCCCAGGUGAUCAGGGUGGAUCCCCAGGUGAUCAGGGUGGAUCCCCAGGUGAUCAGGGUGGAUCCCCAGGGGACAUGGGUGUAGGUCUGAUCAGGGUGGAUCCCCAGGUGAUCAGGGUGGAUCCCCAGGUGAUCAGGGUGGAUCCCCAGGGGACAAGGGUGGAUCCCCAGGGGACAUGGGUGUAGGUCUGAUCAGGGUGGAUCCCCAGGUGAUCAGGGUGGAUCCCCAGGUGAUCAGGGUGGAUCCUCAGGUGACAUGGGUGUAGGUCUGAUCAGGGUGGAUCCCCUAGUGAUCAGGGUGGAUCCCCAGGUGAUCAGGGUGGAUCCCCAGGUGAUCAGGGUGCAGGUCUGACUUCAAAAGAGGCUACUGAUGGCCGUUCUCUGACACUCCCCUGUUCACAGGGAAACCUACCGGUCAUGGAUGGACAGCCAAUAUACAACCCUCCUGUCCCGUACACCAUCGUGAUUCCAGGAGGGAUGUCUACGAAGAAGACCAUCGUCAUCAGAGGCAUGGUACCUCUAGGAGCAAACAGGUCUGUAGUACCCUAACCCCUAUACCCUAACCCCUAUACCCUAACCCCUAUACUCUAUCCCCUAACCCCAUUACCCUAUCCCCUAACCCCUAUCCCCUAACCCCUAUACCCUAACCCCUAUAUCCUAUCCCCUAACCUCUAUACCCUAACCCCAUUACCCUAUCCCCUAACCUCUAUACCCUAACCCCAUUACCCUAUCCCCUAACUUCUAUACCCUAACCCCAUUACCCUAUCCCCUAACCUCUAUCCCCUAACCCCUAUACCCUAACCCCAUUACCCUAUCCCCUAACCUCUAUACCCUAACCCCAU
rnacentral:lncRNA from 13 species